rnacentral:rRNA from 1 species
CCUACGGGAGGCAGCAGUGGGGAAUAUUGGACAAUGGGGGCAACCCUGAUCCAGCCAUGCCGCGUGAGUGAAGAAGGCCUUCGGGUUGUAAAGCUCUUUCAGAUGCGAAGAUGAUGACGGUAACAUCAGAAGAAGCCCCGGCUAAUUUCGUGCCAGCAGCCGCGGUAAUACGAAAGGGGCAAGCGUUGUUCGGAUUUACUGGGCGUAAAGGGCACGCAGGCGGUCUUGCCAGUCAGGGGUGAAAGCCCGGGGCUCAACCCCGGAACUGCCUCUGAUACUGCAAGACUAGAGACUAGGAGAGGGUGGUGGAAUUCCCAGUGUAGAGGUGAAAUUCGUAGAUAUUGGGAGGAACACCAGAGGCGAAGGCGGCCACCUGGACUAGAUCUGACGCUCAGGUGCGAAAGCGUGGGGAGCAAACAGGAUUAGAUACCCUGGUAGUCCACGCCGUAAACGAUGAGUGCUAGUUGUCGGGACUUCGGUUUCGGUGACGCAGCUAACGCAUUAAGCACU